rnacentral:rRNA from 1 species
CCUACGGGAGGCUGCAGUGGGGAAUAUUGCACAAUGGGGGAAACCCUGAUGCAGCGACGCCGCGUGAGUGAAGAAGUAUUUCGGUACGUAAAGCUCUAUCAGCAGGGAAGAAAAUGACGGUACCUGACUAAGAAGCCCCGGCUAACUACGUGCCAGCAGCCGCGGUAAUACGUAGGGGGCAAGCGUUAUCCGGAUUUACUGGGUGUAAAGGGAGCGUAGACGGCAGCGCAAGUCUGGAGUGAAAUCCCAUGGCUUAACCAUGGAACUGCUUUGGAAACUGUGCAGCUAGAGUGCAGGAGAGGUAAGCGGAAUUCCUAGUGUAGCGGUGAAAUGCGUAGAUAUUGGGAGGAACACCAGUGGCGAAGGCGGCUUACUGGACUGUAACUGACGUUGAGGCUCGAAAGCGUGGGGAGCAAACAGGAUUAGAUACCCUGGUAGUC